CCGCUGUAAGAACAAAUUACAAGUCAAAAAUUCAGAUAAAAAAGGGAAAGAACUGAAAAUAUUAAAUUAUGCACUAUGAACAAAUUUUAGCAUCUCGUUUUGGUACAAUGCACUCCAAGUCUGCAAAACAACAGGCUCGACGUCAGUUCUCAUGACACCUCCACGUGUUAGAAUAGGCAACAUCAACGUCAUAUGGAAAAACUAUGGUUCAUAGUCCGGGCCAUCUGUUUCACCCCUUGAAGUACCCUGAUCAGCACCAAAUGUCCUCUUGCUCAUGUUUGCUCGUUGCACUAGCCGAACUAAUGCUUCAACCACUUCCGACAUAGGUGGCCUGAACUCCGGUUCAGGCUGGACACACAGAGCUAUUACAUCAGCAAAGCGUGAUAGAGAUUUAACAGGAUAGAGCCCCUCGAGUGCUGGAUCAACCAUCUUAGCUAGGGCAUCAAUAUCAUGCAGCUGAGGUGUUGCCCAUCUAACUAGAUCUUGUUCAGAUCUUGUUCUUGCGCUAUCAAAAGGUUUUCGUCCGGUAAGAAGUUCCAACAUAACCACUCCAAAGCUGUACACAUCAGAUUCCUUGCUAGCUCUUCUUGUGCUUUUAUAUUCUGGAGCUAAGUAACCUAGAGUUCCUCCUAAUCCAGUUGUUUGGGGACCAAUUUCAUGGUCUGUGAACCAAGCUAACCCAAAGUCACCCAGCUUAGCAUUAAAAUUAGAGUCUAGCAUUACAUUGCUGGAUUUGACAUCUCGGUGAACCACACACUGCUCCCACUCUUCAUGAAGGUAGAGCAAUGCUGAGGCCAACCCAAGAGAUAUCUUGUAUCUCACAGGCCAUUUAAGAGGAGUCCUCUUGCCAAAGAGGUGAACAACUAGACUACCAUUUGGCAUGAAUUCAUAAACAAGUAGAAACUCACCUUUAUCAUGGCACCAACCCAAGAGUUGAGCCAGAUUCCGGUGUCUCAAUUGGCCAAUGGUUUUCACCUCAGUAAUAUGCUCCUUUUUACCUUGUCUAGAUCCUCUUGAAACUUACUUCACAGCAAUUGCUAAAUCCAUAUCAAUUAAGUAUCCCUUGUAAACAGCACCCUCCUUUCCCCAGCAUCCUUUCUUCCGAGAAGUUAUUGGUAGCUGAAACGAGAUCUUCAUAAGAAAACCUUCUUGGUCCAGCUCUUCUUUCAAGGUCUUCAUUGAUUGACGUCAAGUUCCUUCCUCCCCUUUUUUCCUUGCCAUCAUCUGUUUCUUCCUCCUCCUCCUGAAAGAAAUAAAAGUUCCUACGAUCGUCCCACCAGCUAGAACACAUGCUGAAACUCCAACACCAACUAUUAUUCUGGUCCUCUUUGAACUGUUUCCAUUUUUUCCCUGGAAAUUCAAACUAGAAUUGAUUUCCCAGGAUUGAAGUUGGUGUCGUUCUCCGUAUUGACCUGUAGCAGCUGAAAACCCAAUAUUAACCCAUUCCGGCAAAACCUCCUUCAGAUCAAUUAUGUAAAACAAACUAGUAUUCUCCUGAGGAUUGGAGGUUUUCUUAUAAGUCCAAAAUACGCUCAUUUUUAGUUGUUGCAUUGUAAGUAACCCAUACAUCAGCGGUAUCUCCACUGUGAAAGCUUGCGUUCCAGGCAGUAUGCACAGCUGAAGCAAGAGAGUUGUUGUUGAUCCCUACAUGCUCAACCAGAGGCUUGGGAUCCUAUUCUUCAUUUCGAAAUGAAUCGAACUCCACUAUAACGAUUAGGUUCUGAGACGAAUCCAUAGUUGAGGUGUUAAACAAGCUCAAAAAGGCACCGGCAGAAUUCGGUGGGAUUCCAAAUCCAACCGGACCAAGGAAGAAGCAAGCCUAUGGCCAUAUUUAGAAACACCUUGGGUGUCAAUGUUGAAAGAGAAAUGGGACCUGAAAUCAGAAAGUUUCCCUGUGGUGGAGUCCCAGAGCAUGAUCCUUUCAGCAUAGGCGGCCCAACCAACACGGCAUGUAAAGUCGUACUUGCUGAUUAAUUCAACGACACCACCAGAUGAAGGCGCUGCAUCACCGUGAUAAAGAAAGUUGUUUACCUCAGGACCAAAGCGAGGUAUAUAGAAAUGAACAGAAAUAG
rnacentral:misc_RNA from 1 species